rnacentral:rRNA from 1 species
GGUUAAGCGACUAAGCGUACACGGUGGAUGCCCUGGCAGUCAGAGGCGAUGAAGGACGUGCUAAUCUGCGAUAAGCGUCGGUAAGGUGAUAUGAACCGUUAUAACCGGCGAUUUCCGAAUGGGGAAACCCAGUGUGUUUCGACACACUAUCAUUAACUGAAUCCAUAGGUUAAUGAGGCGAACCGGGGGAACUGAAACAUCUAAGUACCCCGAGGAAAAGAAAUCAACCGAGAUUCCCCCAGUAGCGGCGAGCGAACGGGGAGCAGCCCAGAGCCUGAAUCAGUGUGUGUGUUAGUGGAAGCGUCUGGAAAGGCGCGCGAUACAGGGUGACAGCCCCGUACACAAAAAUGCACAUGCUGUGAGCUCGAUGAGUAGGGCGGGACACGUGGUAUCCUGUCUGAAUAUGGGGGGACCAUCCUCCAAGGCUAAAUACUCCUGACUGACCGAUAGUGAACCAGUACCGUGAGGGAAAGGCGAAAAGAACCCCGGCGAGGGGAGUGAAAAAGAACCUGAAACCGUGUACGUACAAGCAGUGGGAGCACGCUUAGGCGUGUGACUGCGUACCUUUUGUAUAAUGGGUCAGCGACUUAUAUUCUGUAGCAAGGUUAACCGAAUAGGGGAGCCGAAGGGAAACCGAGUCUUAACUGGGCGUUAAGUUGCAGGGUAUAGACCCGAAACCCGGUGAUCUAGCCAUGGGCAGGUUGAAGGUUGGGUAACACUAACUGGAGGACCGAACCGACUAAUGUUGAAAAAUUAGCGGAUGACUUGUGGCUGGGGGUGAAAGGCCAAUCAAACCGGGAGAUAGCUGGUUCUCCCCGAAAGCUAUUUAGGUAGCGCCUCGUGAAUUCAUCUCCGGGGGUAGAGCACUGUUUCGGCAAGGGGGUCAUCCCGACUUACCAACCCGAUGCAAACUGCGAAUACCGGAGAAUGUUAUCACGGGAGACACACGGCGGGUGCUAACGUCCGUCGUGAAGAGGGAAACAACCCAGACCGCCAGCUAAGGUCCCAAAGUCAUGGUUAAGUGGGAAACGAUGUGGGAAGGCCCAGACAGCCAGGAUGUUGGCUUAGAAGCAGCCAUCAUUUAAAGAAAGCGUAAUAGCUCACUGGUCGAGUCGGCCUGCGCGGAAGAUGUAACGGGGCUAAACCAUGCACCGAAGCUGCGGCAGCGACACUGUGUGUUGUUGGGUAGGGGAGCGUUCUGUAAGCCUGUGAAGGUGUGCUGUGAGGCAUGCUGGAGGUAUCAGAAGUGCGAAUGCUGACAUAAGUAACGAUAAAGCGGGUGAAAAGCCCGCUCGCCGGAAGACCAAGGGUUCCUGUCCAACGUUAAUCGGGGCAGGGUGAGUCGACCCCUAAGGCGAGGCCGAAAGGCGUAGUCGAUGGGAAACAGGUUAAUAUUCCUGUACUUGGUGUUACUGCGAAGGGGGGACGGAGAAGGCUAUGUUGGCCGGGCGACGGUUGUCCCGGUUUAAGCGUGUAGGCUGGUUUUCCAGGCAAAUCCGGAAAAUCAAGGCUGAGGCGUGAUGACGAGGCACUACGGUGCUGAAGCAACAAAUGCCCUGCUUCCAGGAAAAGCCUCUAAGCAUCAGGUAACAUCAAAUCGUACCCCAAACCGACACAGGUGGUCAGGUAGAGAAUACCAAGGCGCUUGAGAGAACUCGGGUGAAGGAACUAGGCAAAAUGGUGCCGUAACUUCGGGAGAAGGCACGCUGAUAUGUAGGUGAAGCGACUUGCUCGUGGAGCUGAAAUCAGUCGAAGAUACCAGCUGGCUGCAACUGUUUAUUAAAAACACAGCACUGUGCAAACACGAAAGUGGACGUAUACGGUGUGACGCCUGCCCGGUGCCGGAAGGUUAAUUGAUGGGGUUAGCGCAAGCGAAGCUCUUGAUCGAAGCCCCGGUAAACGGCGGCCGUAACUAUAACGGUCCUAAGGUAGCGAAAUUCCUUGUCGGGUAAGUUCCGACCUGCACGAAUGGCGUAAUGAUGGCCAGGCUGUCUCCACCCGAGACUCAGUGAAAUUGAACUCGCUGUGAAGAUGCAGUGUACCCGCGGCAAGACGGAAAGACCCCGUGAACCUUUACUAUAGCUUGACACUGAACAUUGAGCCUUGAUGUGUAGGAUAGGUGGGAGGCUUUGAAGUGUGGACGCCAGUCUGCAUGGAGCCGACCUUGAAAUACCACCCUUUAAUGUUUGAUGUUCUAACGUUGACCCGUAAUCCGGGUUGCGGACAGUGUCUGGUGGGUAGUUUGACUGGGGCGGUCUCCUCCUAAAGAGUAACGGAGGAGCACGAAGGUUGGCUAAUCCUGGUCGGACAUCAGGAGGUUAGUGCAAUGGCAUAAGCCAGCUUGACUGCGAGCGUGACGGCGCGAGCAGGUGCGAAAGCAGGUCAUAGUGAUCCGGUGGUUCUGAAUGGAAGGGCCAUCGCUCAACGGAUAAAAGGUACUCCGGGGAUAACAGGCUGAUACCGCCCAAGAGUUCAUAUCGACGGCGGUGUUUGGCACCUCGAUGUCGGCUCAUCACAUCCUGGGGCUGAAGUAGGUCCCAAGGGUAUGGCUGUUCGCCAUUUAAAGUGGUACGCGAGCUGGGUUUAGAACGUCGUGAGACAGUUCGGUCCCUAUCUGCCGUGGGCGCUGGAGAACUGAGGGGGGCUGCUCCUAGUACGAGAGGACCGGAGUGGACGCAUCACUGGUGUUCGGGUUGUCAUGCCAAUGGCACUGCCCGGUAGCUAAAUGCGGAAGAGAUAAGUGCUGAAAGCAUCUAAGCACGAAACUUGCCCCGAGAUGAGUUCUCCCUGACUCCUUGAGAGUCCUGAAGGAACGUUGAAGACGACGACGUUGAUAGGCCGGGUGUGUAAGCGCAGCGAUGCGUUGAGCUAACCGGUACUAAUGAACCGUGAGGCUUAACCUU